rnacentral:lncRNA from 1 species
UUUAUUACAUUUAAUUAUACAACCUUUCAAUUUAUGUACCAAAAUUCUAUUUAAGGUUUAAUUAUCAACUUAUUAAUUAUAGGCUUGAUUUGUGGAACUGAAAUUCUUUUCAGAUUUUAUUGUACACGUUUCUUCUCUCUCUAACAAACAAAACCCACGAUUUUCUCCCCUUUUUUUUAAUUACCCUCCCCCCACGUUUUUUUACGAAAACCGAUCUCUCUCUCUCUCUCUCUCUGCUUGAAUUUCAUCCGCCAUUGUCGAAGCUUGAACAGUUUCAUAUCGAGAAGUUCUUCUCA